rnacentral:rRNA from 1 species
GACGAACGCCUUCGGCGUGCCUAAUACAUGCAAGUAGAACGCUGAAGAGAGGAGCUUGCUCUUCUUGGAUGAGUUGCGAACGGGUGAGUAACGCGUAGGUAACCUGCCUUGUAGCGGGGGAUAACUAUUGGAAACGAUAGCUAAUACCGCAUAACAAUGGAUGACACAUGUCAUUUAUUUGAAAGGGGCAAUUGCUCCACUACAAGAUGGACCUGCGUUGUAUUAGCUAGUAGGUGAGGUAAUGGCUCACCUAGGCGACGAUACAUAGCCGACCUGAGAGGGUGAUCGGCCACACUGGGACUGAGACACGGCCCAGACUCCUACGGGAGGCAGCAGUAGGGAAUCUUCGGCAAUGGGGGCAACCCUGACCGAGCAACGCCGCGUGAGUGAAGAAGGUUUUCGGAUCGUAAAGCUCUGUUGUAAGUCAAGAACGGGUGUGAGAGUGGAAAGUUCACACUGUGACGGUAGCUUACCAGAAAGGGACGGCUAACUACGUGCCAGCAGCCGCGGUAAUACGUAGGUCCCGAGCGUUGUCCGGAUUUAUUGGGCGUAAAGCGAGCGCAGGCGGUUUGAUAAGUCUGAAGUUAAAGGCUGUGGCUCAACCAUAGUUCGCUUUGGAAACUGUCAAACUUGAGUGCAGAAGGGGAGAGUGGAAUUCCAUGUGUAGCGGUGAAAUGCGUAGAUAUAUGGAGGAACACCGGUGGCGAAAGCGGCUCUCUGGUCUGUAACUGACGCUGAGGCUCGAAAGCGUGGGGAGCGAACAGGAUUAGAUACCCUGGUAGUCCACGCCGUAAACGAUGAGUGCUAGGUGUUGGAUCCUUUCCGGGAUUCAGUGCCGCAGCUAACGCAUUAAGCACUCCGCCUGGGGAGUACGACCGCAAGGUUGAAACUCAAAGGAAUUGACGGGGGCCCGCACAAGCGGUGGAGCAUGUGGUUUAAUUCGAAGCAACGCGAAGAACCUUACCAGGUCUUGACAUCCCGAUGCUAUUUCUAGAGAUAGAAAGUUACUUCGGUACAUCGGUGACAGGUGGUGCAUGGUUGUCGUCAGCUCGUGUCGUGAGAUGUUGGGUUAAGUCCCGCAACGAGCGCAACCCCUAUUGUUAGUUGCCAUCAUUCAGUUGGGCACUCUAGCGAGACUGCCGGUAAUAAACCGGAGGAAGGUGGGGAUGACGUCAAAUCAUCAUGCCCCUUAUGACCUGGGCUACACACGUGCUACAAUGGUUGGUACAACGAGUUGCGAGUCGGUGACGGCGAGCUAAUCUCUUAAAGCCAAUCUCAGUUCGGAUUGUAGGCUGCAACUCGCCUACAUGAAGUCGGAAUCGCUAGUAAUCGCGGAUCAGCACGCCGCGGUGAAUACGUUCCCGGGCCU